CAUGCAAGUCGAGCGGCAGCGCUGGGCGUCUUCGGACGCCCUGGCGGCGAGCGGCGGACGGGUGAGUAACGCGUGGGAAUCUACCCUUCGGUGGGGGAUAGCCCGGGGAAACUCGGAUUAAUACCGCAUACGCCCUACGGGGGAAAGCGGGCCUCUGAUGCAAGCUCGCGCCGAAGGAUGAGCCCGCGUCCGAUUAGCUGGUUGGUGGGGUAAAGGCCUACCAAGGCGACGAUCGGUAGCUGGUCUGAGAGGAUGGUCAGCCACACUGGGACUGAGACACGGCCCAGACUCCUACGGGAGGCAGCAGUGGGGAAUAUUGGACAAUGGGCGAAAGCCUGAUCCAGCAAUGCCGCGUGUGUGAAGAAGGCCUGCGGGUUGUAAAGCACUUUCAUCGGGGAGGAAAAGCGGCGGGUUAAUAGCCUGUCGUCUUGACGUUACCCGAAGAAGAAGCGCCGGCAAACUUCGUGCCAGCAGCCGCGGUAAUACGAAGGGCGCAAGCGUUAAUCGGAAUCACUGGGCGUAAAGGGCGCGUAGGCGGCCAGGUAAGUCGGGUGUGAAAGCCCUGGGCUCAACCUAGGAAUGGCAUCCGAUACUGCUUGGCUAGAGUCCGGUAGAGGGUAGUGGAAU
rnacentral:rRNA from 1 species